CCAGUAAUGGCUGUGUGAUAACCAAAAUCAUAAACAAAUUCCUCUUUGACGGGCCGAUAGUAAUAUUGGCCUUCUUUUU
rnacentral:sRNA from 1 species